rnacentral:lncRNA from 1 species
AAGUCAUCUUCUUCUUCUUCCCCUUUAGUGUUCCCCGAAGGGGAUGACGAAGGGGUGUUCCCCUUCUUCCCCUUUAGGGGACGGAGACUUUGGGGAAGAACCAAAGUCUUCCCCAAAGGGGAACCCCAAAGGGGAACCCCAAAGUCUCCGUCCCCUAAAGGGGAAGAAGAAGAACACCCCCUUCUUCCCCUUUAGGGGACUUUUUCCCCUUUGGUGUGUUCCCCUUCGGGGAGACUAAGGGGUUCCCCUUCGGGGAUGACGAAGGGGUGUUCCCCUUCGGGGAUGAACUAAAGGGGUUCCCCUUUAGGGGAAGAACACUAAAGGGGAAGAUGACUUUGGGGUUCCCCCUUUAGGGGAAGAACUAAAGGGGAAGAUGACUUUGGGGUUCCCCUAAAGGGGAAGAACUAAAGGGGAAGAUGAUUUUGGGGUUCCCCUUUAGGGGAAGAACUAAAGGGGAAGACAACGACGGGUUUCGUCCGAAAGUAGUUUUACUUUAGGAGUUCUUCUUCGGUAUCCGGCCGAAAACAGUAGCUUUAGGGGAGUCUUAGAGUGCACUCUUCUUCCCCUUUAGAGUUCCCCAAAGGGGAGACGAAGGGGUGUUCCCCUUCGGGGAUACGAAGGGGAAGAACUAAAGGGGAACCCUUCUUCGUCCUCUUGUCCCCUUUAGUUCUUCUUCUUCUUCCCCUUUAGUUCAUCCCCUUUAGGGGAACUAAAGAAGAUGAACNNN